CGGGUAGGCGGUUCGGUAAGUCUCUUGUGAAAGCUCCCGGCUCAACUGGGAGAGGUCAAGGGAAACUACCGGGCUGGAGGGUGGCAGAGGAAGCUGGAAUUCCCGGUGUAGCGGUGAAAUGCGUAGAGAUCGGGAGGAACACCUAUGGCGAAAGCAGGCUUCUGGGCCAUCCCUGACGCUGAUCUGCGAAAGCUAGGGGAGCAAACAGGAUUAGAUACCCUGGUAGUCCUAGCCCUAAGCGAUGCUCAUUAGGUGUGAGAGGUAUCGACCCCUUUCGCGCCGAAGCUAACGCAUUAAAUGAGCCGCCUGGGGAGUACGGCCGCAAGGUUGAA
rnacentral:rRNA from 1 species